AUGACGGGGAUACGAGCUCAGAGGAUGAGUGGGACAUCACAAGAGACCCCUGACACCACCGUGGAGCCUCUUUUCUGUGGCCAGCUGGAGCUUUCUGAACCCACCUGCAUGAUGCACCACAUGAGGCCAAUUAAGUGUGUGGCAUUUGAAGGAACCUUAACUGGAAGGCGUUUCUAUGGUUGUCCAGUGCCGCAGAGUGAAGGUGUUAACUGUGGUGUUACCGAGUGGGUUGACAAGCCCUGGCAUCCAAUUCUUCAGAAUUGCUUGUCCAGGCUAUGGGACAUGUACCAUGAACAGAAUUGUGGCAGGGUAGUUGAUAAGCAGAAGUAUGAGAAGCAUUUUUCCAAGCUUAAGACUGAAAAUGACAAGCUGUGCAUUGAGUACACAAAGCUUGUCCAAGAUGUAUCCAAGAUGUUUGAUUGGCAGGAUGGUAGGGUAGACCACAUGGAUUACCAGAAGGCAGUUGAGGAGGAAGAAUUUGAGAAGAAGAAGAAAGAGGUAGAAGAGAGUGCUAGGUUGGAGGUUCAGAUGGAGAAGCUCAAACUUGCCAAGGAACAAAGGUGCAUUUUACAGAGUCAAGCUGACAUUAUCAAGAAUACCAGGAAGGCAAUGAAGGAGGUUGAACAGGAAAGAGAUUUGCUUAAGAUAGAGAAGGCCAAGCUUGAGCAUGUGGUGAAUGAGUUGCUGAAUGAUGGGCAUGCAAGCAAGGAGAAACUUGAGAAAAUCAAGGCCAUCCUUGAUUCAUGA
rnacentral:rRNA from 1 species